UCCGGCUUCUCGCCGACAGUCCCCGUAGAGUGCCCAGCUUAACCUGAUGGCAACUACAGGCAAGGGUUGCGCUCGUUGCGGGACUUAACCCAACAUCUCACGACACGAGCUGACGACAGCCAUGCAGCACCUCUGUUGCGGUCCCCGAAGGGAACACCACAUCUCUGCGGCUGGCCACAACAGUUCAAACCCCGGUAAGGUUCUUCGCGUUGCGUCGAAUUAAACCACAUGCUCCACCGCUUGUGCGGGCCCCCGUCAAUUCCUUUGAGUUUCAGCCUUGCGGCCGUACUCCCCAGGCGGAACACUUAAUGAGUUAUCUCCGGCACAGAGAGCCUUUUCCACCCCCUACACCAAGUGUUCAUCGUUUACAGCCAGGACUAC
rnacentral:misc_RNA from 1 species